rnacentral:rRNA from 1 species
UUACCGAAACUGCGGGUGCCACGUAAGUGGCGCGAUAGGAGAGCGUUCUAAGGGCAAUGAAGCUAGACCGUGAGGACUGGUGGAGCGCUUAGAAGUGAGAAUGCCGGUAUGAGUAGCGAAAGACAGGUGAGAAUCCUGUCCACCGUAUGACUAAGGUUUCCUGGGGAAGGCUCGUCCUCCCAGGGUUAGUCGGGACCUAAGGCGAGGCCGAGAGGCGUAGUCGAUGGAUAACAGGUUGAUAUUCCUGUACCAGGUGUAUUUGUUUGAACAAUGGAGGGACGCAGAAGGAUAAUGAAUGCGCACUGCUGGAUAUGUGCGUUUAAAUCGUAAGUCUUGAUAAGAGUCAAAUGCUUUUAUCUUUAAGGACAAGCGAUGAUGAGGACCGAAAUUUAAGUAGGGAAGUUCAUGAUUUCACGCUGCCGAGAAAAGCUUCUAGUUAGAAUACAUUUGCCCGUACCGCAAACCGACACAGGUAGUCGAGGAGAGAAUCCUAAGGUGUGCGAGAGAACUCUCGUUAAGGAACUCGGCAAAAUGACCCCGUAACUUCGGGAGAAGGGGUGCUGACCGCAAGGUCAGCCGCAGUGAAUAGGCCCAGGCGACUGUUUAUCAAAAACACAGGUUUCUGCAAAAUCGUAAGAUGACGUAUAGGGGCUGACGCCUGCCCGGUGCUGGAAGGUUAAAAGGAUGGCUUAGCUUCGGCGAAGGUCAGAAUUGAAGCCCCAGUAAACGGCGGCCGUAACUAUAACGGUCCUAAGGUAGCGAAAUUCCUUGUCGGGUAAGUUCCGACCCGCACGAAAGGCGUAACGAUCUGGGCACUGUCUCAACGAGAGACUCGGUGAAAUUUAAAUACCCGUGAAGAUGCGGGUUACCCGCGACAGGACGGAAAGACCCCAUGGAGCUUUACUGUAGCUUGAUAUUGAGUGUUUGUGCAGCUUGUACAGGAUAGGUAGGAGACGUAGAAAUCGGGACGCUAGUUUCGAUUGAGGCGUUGGUGGGAUACUACCCUCGCUGUAUGACCACUCUAACUCGCAUCACUAAUCGUGAUGGAAGACAGUGUCUGGCAGGCAGUUUGACUGGGGCGGUCGCCUCCUAAAAGGUAACGGAGGCGCCCAAAGGUUCCCUCAGAAUGGUUGGAAAUCAUUCGCAGAGUGUAAAGGCACAAGGGAGCUUGACUGUGAGACUUACCAGUCGAGCANNNNNNNNNNNNNNNNNNNNCACGAAAUUAGCAUCGAUGUCCCAUAUGGAUUUGUGAAGGUGGUUACUGCGUCAGCGAAACCUGGCUGUACAAACAUUUUACGACAGACAUUCAGCCUGGAAGGCGAAUCUAAUCGGGUUUUGAUUAGAUUCAGUUGUUUGUUGGGAACUAAGCGCCGCGCCCGUAGUAAGUGCGGCGUUGCAACCAUGACGUGCUUGUACAUAAUAGGUGAAAAACUUACGAUGAAAAAAUAAAUAAAUUCAUCGGAGAAAUAUUAUGACAACAGUUCAAAUUAGCAUCUACUGCAUCGCUGGGUUAUUAUUUUUAGCGACAAUUGGCUAUGAAACCUGGUUGAUGUAUCAAUUGAGAACGCGUGCUAAUGCGGCGGCGACGGUACGACGACAAGAUCGUUUGAAAUUCAUCG